rnacentral:rRNA from 1 species
AGGGUAAGUAGGCCAGCCGUUGGUUGUGCUGGUGCUAAGCUUGUAGGCGUUGAGAGUGGGGUUAAAAGACCACUUGAGCUGAGGAGUGAUGGCGAGUCCGCAAGGGCAGAAGCUACUGAACCCAUGCCACCAAGAAAAGCCUCUAGUGAGACCUGCGUGACCGUACCGCAAACCGACACAGGUAGAUGGGUUGAGAAUACUAAGGGGAACGGGAGAACCUUCGUUAAGGAAUUCGGCAAACUAGAUCCGUAACUUCGGGAUAAGGAUUGGCUCUAAGGGU